AUUGAACGCUGGCGGCCGGCCUAACACAUGCAAGUCGUGCGCUCGGCGGCCGGGUGAGUAAUGUAUGGGCAUCUGCCUGAUGGAGGGGGACAACUACUGGACACGGUAUCUAAUACCGCCUACCAUCAUAUCAUACCCUAUGGGAGUAGCUUGUAGGUUCGGUAACGGCUCACCUAGGCGACGAUCCCUAGCUGGGCGGAGAGGAUGGUCAGUCACACUGGGAGUGUGACACGGCCCAGACUCCUACGGGAGGCAGCAGUGGGGAGUAGUGCACAAUGGGCGCAAGCCUGAUGCAGCCAUGCGGCUUGUACGACGAAGGCCGUCGGGUUGUAAAGUACUUUCAGUCGAGAGGCUUUACCCACAGAAGAAGCACCGGCUAACUCCGUGCCAGCAGCCGCGGUAAUAC
rnacentral:rRNA from 1 species